rnacentral:sRNA from 1 species
GACUUGAGUUGCUUUGUCUGGUAUCCUUAUGCAGAAUGAACUGAAAUAAUCAUCAAUCUGAAAAGCUAGUCUUAAACAGAGACUUGCUUCAACACCAGGAAGAACAUGAAAGGGUGACUCAUAAUUCCCAGCAGCAGCGCCAGUUCAUGUGCUGGGAUUCUGACCACAAGUCUAACAAUCAGGUCAGGGAGUCAGAUUUCUGCUGGAUUUAGAAAAGCAUCUAUGUGUUUAUGAAAGAAACCCAAUGGAUUUUUAAUAGUUCUGCAGCUCUUGGAGGCUCUACAUCUACCCUUUCUCCCCAGCCAAGAGCAUGGCUAUGGGAGAAGGAAGGCAGGCAGCAGGCAGGGCAGUGUGCCCGCCCUCUUUCUGGAGUAUAAAAGGAGUUGUGAGAGGCUUGGGUCACCAUUUGGUGAGCUGAGGGUGAAGCUACAAAGGUUGAAGCGUUCUUCAGACGACUCUACCUGAGGGUGAAGCUACAAAAGUUGAAACGUUCUUCAGACGACUCUACCUGAAGAAAGAACACUGCUACA